CGCGGUGAGACCAGCGGCCGUAGCGAUGACAACGCUGAGACUAUUCGCAAGCGCUUCCAUACAUUCCUGGAGCAGUCGCUUCCUGUCAAGGACCAUUACCUGGCUCAGGGCAAGUGCCACAUCAUCAGCGCCGUUCCGCCACCAGGGGAGGUUUUCGAAGUUGUGAAGAAAGUGCUGGACGGCAUUUCCGCACCAAGAAAAUCUGAUGUAAGUGACUUAUCAGUUCGUGUCAUGUGGGGUCCAAUGCGAUGAUCCCUCCUGCCAUGGCCUGGUCUGGCAUACAUCACGUAUGCCAGGCGACUGGCAAUUACGGCUCUGCCACACCCCGUGGUGCCGUAUCAUUGGCAAGAGAAUGGGCCCGAAUGUCGAGAAACCCCACGUCCAUGCGUGCAGUACAUACCAUAUCUAUGCGUCGCCACACUCUGCCAUUGUCCAACGUGUUAGGGUUCAUGCUGGAAUUGAGCACUGGGCCUAAUGCCUCAUUUUUAUUUGGAUGGUGACAUGUGACAGCAGUGCGUGCAAUGGCGCAGGUCAUGCUUUGGUGACAGUGAUACGGAACACAGCUUUCAUAAUCUUUCCGUGUCCGCGCCAAAUGCACAUACCCCGCAAACAGGGGAACUGAGUGAUGUGCUUCUCGGUUUCGCUUUUGCGCAAUGCUACAGUCAGACAUAGAAUGAAUGCGUCAUGUGCUUUGGUAAUUGUAGGAGAUUGCCCUGCCGCCUGUGAAGGGCAGCCUGCCGGAGGAUGCUCAAAUUAUCUUUGUGCUUGGUGGGCCAGGCAGCGGCAAAGGCACGCAGUGUGCGCAAAUCCUUCAGGAGUACGAAUGCGUGCACCUCAGCGCUGGUGAUUUGCUUCGUGCCGAGGUCAAGAGCGGCAGCGUCGUGGGCAGGAAGUGCGAGGAGCUGAUGCGCGAAGGCAAGCUGGUGCCUUUCGCUGUGACGCUGAACCUGCUGAAGAAGGCCAUGAUUGAGAGUGGCGGCAAGUUCUUCCUCAUCGACGGCUUCCCACGCGCCCUGGACCAGGCGGAGCAGUUUGAGGGCAACAUCAUGCCAUGCAAGGCCGUGCUGUUCUUUGACUGCCCUGAGGAGGAGAUGGAGAAGCGGCUGCUGAAGCGCGGUGAGACCAGCGGCCGUAGCGAUGACAACGCUGAGACUAUCCGCAAGCGCUUCCAUACAUUCCUGGAGCAGUCGCUUCCUGUCAAGGACCAUUACCUGGCUCAGGGCAAGUGCCACAUCAUCAGCGCCGUUCCGCCACCAGGGGAGGUUUUCGAAGUUGUGAAGGAGGUGCUGGAUAAGCUCCAUUCCCCAAGAAAGCCUCAGGUAACGUUAGCUGAGUGACUAGGGAUGGACUCAGUCCUGGACGUGUGGCAAGCUACUUUCUUGGGAUGGCUCGCCGACCCACAUCGGUGUGCCAGCUGCAGGCUUACACCUUUCGAGCCACCCUGUAGGGUUUGGGGAUAGCUUUAGCUUAUGAGGAGACAGGGUUGUGUAAUCGAUUGCACCGCUCGAUCGGUUGUCAACUUAAAUUGUUGGCAUGCUGCGAUGUUGCUUCAUGAGGGCCAGUGGUGCAAAACAAUGUCCUUAUAGCAUGUGGGGCUUUGAGAGCGACUGAGUGCUAACUGUGCGCGUUUAUGCCUGAGGCGCUUACCUGGUUGGACCAUGGCUAAAUGAGAGUGUUUUAGCUCUUUUUUGUCAUGGAGCACUUGACGUCAUCGGUCAUGGCGAGGCUUUAUCAUCUCUCGCGUCUGUCAAGCUGGGCAUUGGCUUGUCCCUACGAAACAGGGCAUUCAUAUUCAACUGCAUUUGCUGCAAUGUGUUCCGGCCCGCCUGUGUUCAUGAAGCCAGCAAAUCAUUACACGUCGACGGCAGCGUAAUACGUGUAACCUGAUACGUGGCCUACUCGGCCUGACUGAUUUCUUGGUGACCGCUGUACGACCGUUGUGCCUUUGUAGGAGAUUGCCCUACCGCCUGUGAAGGGCAGCUUGCCGGAGGAUGCUCAAAUUAUCUUUGUGCUUGGUGGGCCAGGCAGCGGCAAAGGCACGCAGUGCGACAAGAUCAAACAGGACUAUAAAUGCGUACACCUCAGCGCUGGUGAUCUGCUUCGUGCCGAGGUCAAGAGCGGCAGCGUCGUGGGCAAGAAGUGCGAGGAGCUGAUGCGCGAAGGCAAGCUGGUGCCUUUCGCCGUGACGCUGAACCUGCUGAAAAAGGCCAUGAUUGAGAGUGGCGGCAAGUUCUUCCUCAUCGACGGCUUCCCACGCGCCCUGGACCAGGCGGAGCAGUUUGAGAGCAACAUCAUGCCAUGCAAGGCCGUGCUGUUCUUUGACUGCCCUGAGGAGGAGAUGGAGAAGCGGCUGCUGAAGCGCGGUGAGACCAGCGGCCGUAGCGAUGACAACGCUGAGACGAUUCGCAAGCGCUUCAAGACGUUUCUGGAGCAGUCGCUUCCUGUGAAGGACCAUUACCUGGCUCAGGGCAAGUGCCACGUCAUCAGUGCCGUUCCGUCGCCGGAGGAGGUGUACGGGAAGGUGAAGGCUGUGCUGACCAGCCUUCACGCGCCGGAAAAGGUGAGCAAAGUAAUUUCUUGGCGCGAUACGUUUUCCGUGGCAUCAUCACUUUCGAUGAUUUUACGCUGGUCCGUGCACUCGUUGUGGGUCAGAGCGCUGGACGUGGCUAUAAGUGUUAGCGCAAAAGAGUGAGGAGUCGCAACAUGACAAGCUGGAACAUGGCACGUGGUUUGGAUUGCUCCCUUGCUUCGGAUCGAUUUGUGGAAUACAAUUGCUGUCCCAUUACGACUGCCUUAUCCGGCACCAACACUUUACCGAACACGAUCCAUUUCGUUUUCCAGUCAAACGGAGUCGUGCACUGUGAGCUGCAGGAUUAGCUAUUCCUGUAUAAUUGAAACAAAUUUUGCAUGCCUGCAGUUUGCGCUGCCCCCAGUACAUGGCAGCCUGCCGGAUGAUGCUCAGAUCAUCUUCGUGCUUGGUGGGCCAGGCAGCGGCAAAGGCACGCAGUGUGCGCAAAUCCUUGAGGAGUACGAAUGCGUGCACCUCAGCGCUGGUGAUUUGCUUCGUGCCGAGGUCAAGAGCGGCAGCGUCGUGGGCAGGAAGUGCGAGGAGCUGAUGCGCGAAGGCAAGCUGGUGCCUUUCGCUGUGACGCUGAACCUGCUGAAGAAGGCCAUGAUUGAGAGUGGCGGCAAGUUCUUCCUCAUCGACGGCUUCCCACGCG
rnacentral:lncRNA from 1 species